UACGUAGGGGGCUAGCGUUGUCCGGAAUUACUGGGCGUAAAGGGCGCGUAGGCGGCCCGCUAAGUCGAACGUGAAAUCCCCGGGCUCAACCCGGGAACUGCGUCCGAUACUGGGAGGCUUGAAUCCGGGAGAGGGAUGUGGAAUUCCAGGUGUAGCGGUGAAAUGCGUAGAUAUCUGGAGGAACACCGGUGGCGAAGGCGGCAUCCUGGACCGGUAUUGACGCUGAGGCGCGAAAGCCAGGGGGAGCAAACGGG
rnacentral:rRNA from 1 species